rnacentral:rRNA from 1 species
UGUUUCGGCAAGGGGGUCAUCCCGACUUACCAACCCGAUGCAAACUGCGAAUACCGGAGAAUGUUAUCACGGGAGACACACGGCGGGUGCUAACGUCCGUCGUGAAGAGGGAAACAACCCAGACCGCCAGCUAAGGUCCCAAAGUCAUGGUUAAGUGGGAAACGAUGUGGGAAGGCCCAGACAGCCAGGAUGUUGGCUUAGAAGCAGCCAUCAUUUAAAGAAAGCGUAAUAGCUCACUGGUCGAGUC